rnacentral:rRNA from 1 species
GUCUACGGCCACGCCACCCUAAGCAUGCCCGAUCCCAUCUGAUCUUGGAAGCUAAGCAGGGUCAGGCCUGGUUAGUACUUGAAUGGGAGACCACCUAGGAAGACCAGGUGCUGUAGGCA